UACAGAGGGGGCAAGCGUUAUUCGGAAUUAUUGGGCGUAAAGGGCGUGUAGGCGGCUUGGCAAGUGGAUGGUGAAAUCCCUCGGCUUAACCGAGGAACUGCCGUCCAAACUGCUUUGCUUGAGGCCGGGAGAGGCGAGUGGAAUUCCCAGUGUAGCGGUGAAAUGCGUAGAUAUUGGGAGGAACACCAGUGGCGAAGGCGGCUCGCUGGACCGGUUCUGACGCUGAUGCGCGAAAGCGUGGGGAGCAAACGGG
rnacentral:rRNA from 1 species